UACGUAGGGGGCUAGCGUUGUCCGGAAUCAUUGGGCGUAAAGCGCAUGUAGGCGGUCCGGUAAGUCCGCUGUGAAAGUCGGGGGCUCAACCCUCGGAUGCCGGUGGAUACUGUCGGGCUUGAGUACGGAAGAGGCGAGUGGAAUUCCUGGUGUAGCGGUGAAAUGCGCAGAUAUCAGGAGGAACACCAAUGGCGAAGGCAGCUCGCUGGAACGUUACUGACGCUGAGACGCGAAAGCGUGGGGAGCAAACAGG
rnacentral:rRNA from 1 species